UACGUAGGCAGCAAGCGUUGUUCGGAAUUAUUGGGCGUAAAGGGCGCGUAGGCGGCUUGGCAAGUGGAUGGUGAAAUCCCUCGGCUUAACCGAGGAACUGCCGUCCAAACUGCUUCGCUUGAGACCGGGAGAGGUGAGUGGAAUUCCCAGUGUAGCGGUGAAAUGCGUAGAUAUUGGGGAGGAACACCAGUGGCGAAGGCGGCUCACUGGACCGGUACUGACGCUGAUGCGCGAAAGCGUGGGGAGCAAACGGG
rnacentral:rRNA from 1 species